CCACUAGUAGUACAAACAUGUUAUUCGUCUUUUAGUAGGGAGUCCCCACAAGGGGGGCAUCAAUGAAAAGGUUGAACCUUUACAUGCUAGGAAAACCUUCAGGAGGGAGGUUAGUGCAACACCCGGAUAGAGCGUAGCCUGUCAUCUUAGAGGGAUUCACGUGAGAGUUGCAAUUAAUAAACUUGACACAGAUCCCAAAGAUAAAAGAGCAUGUCAAGUCGAUGCAAAAUUAGGGAGACACACGAUUGAUCGUGCCAAUCAAAGCAAGAUCACGACAAGCAAAGACAUUG
rnacentral:lncRNA from 1 species